GUGGGGAAUAUUGGACAAUGGGCGCAAGCCUGAUCCAGCCAUGCCGCGUGUGUGAAGAAGGCCUUCGGGUUGUAAAGCACUUUUGUCCGGGAAGAAAUCUUCCAGGUUAAUACCCUGGGAGGCUGACGGUACCGGAAGAAUAAGCACCGGCUAACUUCGUGCCAGCAGCCGCGGUAAUACGAAGGGUGCAAGCGUUACUCGGAAUUACUGGGCGUAAAGCGUGCGUAGGUGGUUCGUUAAGUCUGCCGUGAAAGCCCCGGGCUCAACCUGGGAAUGGCGGUGGAUACUGGCGGGCUAGAGUGCGGUAGAGGGUGGUGGAAUUCCCGGUGUAGCAGUGAAAUGCGUAGAGAUCGGGAGGAACAUCUGUGGCGAAGGCGGCCACCCGGACCGGCACUGACACUGAGGCACGAAAGCGUGGGGAGCAAACAGGAUUAGAUACCCGUGUAGUCC
rnacentral:rRNA from 1 species